rnacentral:rRNA from 1 species
AUGGAGCAGCACAACCAGCUCAUCAUUGCGGCCAUGGACACCGCCAUGGACAACUACUCAUGGCGCCUGAUGCCGGCCCAGAACUCGUCCUUCUCACUCUCCAGCUACCCCAUACUGGCAACCCUGAGCGACCUGGACCAGAGCACGAUUUGCUCGCUGGCCAAGAUGGAGAGGGAGCCGCUGUCCUUCUUUGACGGUGGCGGCGGUUUCGACGACGACGAGUCGGCGGUGAAGCAGGAGAACCAGACGCUGCGGCCCUUCUUUGACGAGUGGCCCAAGGAUAGGGACUCGUGGCCGGAGUUGCAUGACCAUGGCGCCAACAGAAAUGCCAACGCCGCCUUCUCGGCCACCAAGAUGUCCAUCUCCAUCCCGGUGACCAGCUUCGACUUCUCCGCCACCGCCGGAUCCCGCUCGCCCAACGGUGUAUACUCCCGGCAAAAACCCCAGCACCCUACCGCCACGGGGCUCGGCGGUUCGAUGGCCCCGUCAAUCAUCUACAACAAUGUUGUCCAGAGGGAAGUCUUCCUCCCUGGACAGAUCUUCAUAUUCGGCGGCUUCGCACUGCGGGCCAACUCACUUGGCCAUCUAGAGCAGAUCGAUAGCUACGCCCCUGGCCAUCAGGUCAGAUUUGGAAGCUUG